AUGGGUGUUGGCUCCAACAAUUCUCAUUGGUCUCAAACCAAUGAGAUGCAUUUCGAUGAUCAUGAGUUUGAGGUGGACGAGGAUGGUGAGGGCAUCGUCGAUGCACCGAAAGGAAGAGGGGGCAACUACACCAUGGACAAAGACAUCUUGCUAUGCAAUACUUGGUUGCAAGUGUCGAGGGAUCCCUCCAUUGGAGGGGAUCAAAGUAGAGAUGCAUAUUGGCUCCGGAUGAAGGAACACUUUGAUGUACACGACAAAAGUGGAAUUGACCGCUCCGGAAGGUCUCUUCGCUCCCGGUGGUCGACAAUCAACCGAGAUUGUCAAAGGUGGGAGGCCGCACUUAAGGCGGUUGACAAGUUGAACCCAAGUGGCACUAAUGAUAGAGAUAGGGUAAGUGCCAUUUCUUUCAUGAUUCUUCCAUGUUCAUCAUGCUUCUUCUUGGUGUUUCUAGUGCUAACUUGUUUUGUUUGUUUGUAG
rnacentral:rRNA from 1 species